ACACCGUUGGUGAAGUGGUUAUCAUGCUUGCCUUCCAUUUGUUGGUGAGCAAGCGGCUCGGGUUCGAUUCCCGAACGGUGUA